GUUCCUACGGGGGGCAGCAGUGAGGAAUAUUGGUCAAUGGACGAGAGUCUGAACCAGCCAAGUAGCGUGAAGGAUGACUGCCCUAUGGGUUGUAAACUUCUUUUAUAAAGGAAUAAAACGAGGCACGUGUGCCUUUUUGCAUGUACUUUAUGAAUAAGGAUCGGCUAACUCCGUGCCAGCAGCCGUGGUAAUACGGAGGAUCCGAGCGUUGUCCGGAUUUAUUGGGUUUAAAGGGAGCGUAGAUGUGUUGUUAAGUCUGUUGUGCAAGUUUGCGGCUCAACCGUAAAAUUGCAAUUGAUACUGGC
rnacentral:rRNA from 1 species